rnacentral:rRNA from 1 species
UAGGGAAUCUUCCACAAUGGGCGCAAGCCUGAUGGAGCAACACCGCGUGAGUGAAGAAGGGUUUCGGCUCGUAAAGCUCUGUUGUUAAAGAAGAACACGUAUGAGAGUAACUGUUCAUACGUUGACGGUAUUUAACCAGAAAGUCACGGCUAACUACGUGCCAGCAGCCGCGGUAAUACGUAGGUGGCAAGCGUUAUCCGGAUUUAUUGGGCGUAAAGAGAGUGCAGGCGGUUUUCUAAGUCUGAUGUGAAAGCCUUCGGCUUAACCGGAGAAGUGCAUCGGAAACUGGAUAACUUGAGUGCAGAAGAGGGUAGUGGAACUCCAUGUGUAGCGGUGGAAUGCGUAGAUAUAUGGAAGAACACCAGUGGCGAAGGCGGCUACCUGGUCUGCAACUGACGCUGAGACUCGAAAGCAUGGGUAGCGAACAGGAUUAGAUACCCUGGUAGUCCAUACCGUAAACGAUGAGUGCUAGGCGUUGGAGGGUUUCCGCCCUUCAGUGCCGGAGCUAACGCAUUAAGCACUCCGCCUGGGGAGUACGACCGCAAGGUU